rnacentral:rRNA from 1 species
AAGCGGUGGAUGAUGUGGAUUAAUUCGAUGCAACGCGAAAACCUUACCUACCCUUGACAUGUCCGGAAUCCCGAAGAGAUUUGGGAGUGCUCGCAAGAGAACCGGAACACAGGUGCUGCAUGGCUGUCGUCAGCUCGUGUCGUGAGAUGUUGGGUUAAGUCCCGCAACGAGCGCAACCCUUGUCAUUAGUUGCCAUCAUUUGGUUGGGCACUCUAAUGAGACUGCCGGUGACAAACCGGAGGAAGGUGGGGAUGACGUCAAGUCCUCAUGGCCCUUAUGGGUAGGGCUUCACACGUCAUACAAUGGCCGGUACAGAGGGUUGCCAACCCGCGAGGGGGAGCUAAUCCCACAAAGCCGAUCGUAGUCCGGAUCGCAGUCUGCAACUCGACUGCGUGAAGUCGGAAUCGCUAGUAAUCGUGGAUCAGCAUGUCACGGUGAAUACGUUCCCGGGUCUU